CCCCUCUCAGGAUUGCUCCUGGAGAGUUUCCAGUACUGUUCUAGUCUUGGCUAUGGGAGGGAGAAUCGAACAGAGGCAUACCUAUUCCAUUCCUAGCUUGGGCAGUGGCUAGUGAUUGGAAGGCAAUCUGCUACAGGU